rnacentral:rRNA from 1 species
AGAGUUUGAUCCUGGCUCAGGACGAACGCUGGCGGCGUGCCUAACACAUGCAAGUCGAACGGAGUUAAGCUCUUCGGAACUUGACUUAGUGGCGAACGGGUGAGUAACGCGUGAGGAACCUGCCUUUCAGUGGGGGACAACAGUUGGAAACGACUGCUAAUACCGCACGACACUUUUGGGAGACAUCUCCUGGAAGUCAAAGCUUUAUGUGCUGAAAGNUGGCCUCGCGUCUGAUUAGCUAGUUGGUGAGGUAACGGCUCGACCAAGGCGACGAUCAGUAGCCGGUCUGAGAGGAUGAACGGCCACAUUGGGACUGAGAUACGGCCCAGACUCCGUACAGGAGCA